AACUCAUAUCUUUUUUCUUUUUCAAUUUUCGACGCCGGAGAAACAAACUUUGUGAGUAAACAAAGUAUCUCUCAUAAAGAAAGAAAGAAAUAGAGAGAAAGGUUAAAUUCACGAGGUUGGAAGUUUAUGUUUAUUAUUAACAGGAUGUCCUUCAACGCACAGGACGUAUACUAGCGAUGUUAAAAGUUUUCUUUGCUUCAUACAUACGAAUCAGGUGAAUAAAAAGGAAACAGAGUAUUAUUUUUCUUAAUUUGGGAUAGGGAUUACUUUUCGAGACAUGAUUAUAAGUUUCCAUAGUAGUUUUCAUGCAUUGGGAAUAUAUAGGAUAAGGAAAGGCCUUUAAUUCACUGUCUGGCAACCCACAAGGCGAAAAAAUAUAAAAACACUCGAGGAAUCUCAGCGGCGUCCACACCCGCGCUGGUUUUGAUAGUAUCCGGAAGAAUAUUCAGUGUAUUUUUAGCUACCAGCCACGUCGUGCAAGGAAGUGCAAUGUCAGGACACGCGAGGAACACCCAACUUGCUCUCCUUUUGAUGUUGCUCGCUGCAACUUGCAACAUCAGCGAGUGCAAUCGCAGAUGUGGCAUACCGUGUACACGUGAAUUGAAACCCGUGUGUGGCUCAGACUUCCAGACCUACAACAACAUGUGUCUUUUGAGAAGCGAAAGAAUGUGUUCCAGGCCAGGACUCUAUGCUAUACGUUCCGGACGCUGUUAAGGUAGUUUUAAGAUUCGUUCACCAACAACUGUGGAUUCUCCUGUCACCUGUAAGAUAUCGGCAACACUGCAACGCUAAACUAUCCUUGCAACAUUCGCAACCUGAGAAGACCUUAGUCAUAUAACGUCUAAGGUGACCUUGGUGGUGUUAAGAACGCAUGAGAAAAAAAAUUAAAAUAAAUAUUUCAAAGUCA